GUGCCAGCAGCCGCGGUAAAACGUAGGGGGCAAGCGUUGCCCGGAUUCACUGGGCGUAAAGCGGGUGUAGGCGGUUCUCUAAGUCGGAUGUGAAAUCCAGCGGCUCAACCGCUGAAUUGCAUCCGAUACUGGGGAACUUGAGGACGGUAGAGGUUGGUGGAAUUCCCGGUGUACCGGUGAAAUGGGCAGAUAUCGGGAGGAACACCAGUGGCGAAGGCGGCCAACUGGGCCGAUCCUGACGCUGAGACCCGAAAGCCAGGGUAGCGAACCGGAUUAGAAACCCCAGUAGUCC
rnacentral:rRNA from 1 species